UGAUGGAGGCAGAGAUAUUAUUGCUCCUUACUGGACUGAUUUAGACAAUAGUGAAAGUGGUAACAUCUACUAUGUUCAGUACACCCAUGGCUCUAUUCUCCAACAAGUUACCCAGGACAUCAACCUUUACUUCCCAGAACUUAACUUUCAUGCCAACUGGAUCUUUAUUGCAACAUGGCAUAAAGUUCCCUAUUAUUCAAUGCCUGAAACACAAAACACCUUCCAGGCAAUCUUGGCUUCCAAUGGGAAUUAUUCAUUUGUGAUUCUAAAUCAUGGAUCCCUAGCAUCCAAGCAGGUCUCUAUAGAGGCUGGAUAUGACACAGCGUAUUCCUGUCACCACUUCUCCAUUCUUGGAUCGUUCUUUAAUUAUACAAUUCCAAACAUCACACUUUUAG